AAAGUGCCUAAGUCAGCUACUUCGUUCGCAUUUUCCCGAUUUCUUCGGUCCUCAAACAAAUAUUGCUGCAGAUGUGAUAAUUUAUUGGUAAGAACGAAGUUUUUUCCCAUGGUAAAUUUUACAGACAUGCGCGACGCCAAAAUUGGAAUAUAGUGCGGAACCUGAAUACUAAAAAUGCUGCAGCUUACCUAUAACAAAGCUGUGUCAAUUAGAACCAUGUAACAUGGUCUAUUUUUCCAGGAUUGAAUCAAUAUACCCACAAUGUGGAUUGAAGGAACGCGUUCGAC